AUUGCUUCUCGGCCUUUUGGCUAAGAUGAAGUUUAGUAUUUGUUCUUAUCAGUUUUACAAAGAAGAGCUGAAAUUUAUCAGAGGAAGACUGAAGAGAUCACUA
rnacentral:snRNA from 1 species